rnacentral:rRNA from 1 species
AUGCAACAAUACCUAAAUGAAUCUCUAGUACCAAAAGUGGGUUCCACUAACAGCAUCGCGGACUAUUUUGGGUUUUCGGCCAUUGAACGGGUGAAUGCCAUGCUUUCCAUGGAGAUGCUUAUACCUUUUAUCCUCAGGAUGAACGGCUAUGUCUGUAUCGCCAACCAUUGUUUCAGUUCUUGUUGUUGCGACAAUAAUCUCGUCAAACCCUUCUUCAAGAGGAUAGGCAAAGGAUUUCAACACAACAAACUGCACAUGACUGCUAUAACCAGGGAUCUUCAGCAUAGUUUCCUCUUUAGGCUCUAG